rnacentral:sRNA from 1 species
GGAUGCAAAAGUCGUAACACGGUUUCCGUAGGUGAACCUGCGGAAGGAUCAUUCACACAGUUUGUACGCCUAGAACGCGCUGCUGCUGGAUUUUUACAGGUUUCAAGCGUCAGCUUUUUGCCUGGGUGGUCAGCUAGCAGUCGGUCUUGGGUGUUGGAAAGGAAAAUUUGUUACAUCCCAAUCUUUGAAUCGUUUUUUCUCAGCAACGAUUUUUCUACUAUUUAAAAAUUAAAAGGCAUAUUUGUCUUGCGAGGCAUGCGCUAGUAGUAUGGGCGUGAGCGAUGGGGGGGAAGUGGUGGUGCAUGCGUGGGCUUGCUUGCAUGUGUGGGGCUUGUCGGUGGCAGCCCCAGCGUGCCAGCCCCAGCCCCAUGACCAGCCCCAUAGUCGUCGAUCACGACGAGGCGCGAGAAUUAUGAUGAGACUUGAUCGGGGCUGUUUUUUUUUUUGCAGGACGUUCGCAGCUCGAGGGAAUUCCGUGUUGUGUAGCGGUCUGUGUGCUGCUGUGCGAUUGGUCUCUCUCUCCGCGUGCUCGUUGCUCGAAGCUAGUAUGCCUCAGCAUGACAAUAUUUUUUUGCUCAAAAUGGAGUGAUAUCAUUCUAGUUUUUGAGCAAAAAAGAAGGAAAAUGUAUGGUAGAAGAAAAAACUUUCAGCAAUGGAUGUCUUGGCUCACGCAUCGAUGAAGGACGCAGCGAAAUGCGAUACGCAUUGUGAAUUGCAGAUUUCAGUGAACCAUCAGAUUUCUGAACGCACAUGGCGCUGCUGGUAUUUUGCCCGCAGCACGUCUGUUUCAGUGUCUCUUAACAACCUCUACUAGUAUACCAUGCUUCGCUCUCUGUUCCUCAUGUUCCUGGUAGUGUGAAGGUUCGGUGGUUUUACGCACAGAAGCAAGCUCUUGCAAGUUUCUGUUGUGAGUCACGGAACUCUCUACCCGGAGAAGGGGAGGAGGUAGACAGUUUGGUGUCAUUUGGGUGUCGUUGCAUUUGUUUUGGAGCAAGUGUGGCGUCUCUCUAAGUUGUUGUCGGCAGCCGUGCUGUGUGUACGAUGCGCACAGCACUAGGACAUGCCUGUACUUUCUCUCUGUUGUCGUCGUAUAUGCUCCUUUCAUUCUGAAAGAGAGGGAGAUACGGUGAUUGUGUAUUAAUGCGCACAGCACAUGUUUGUCUCACUGUGGACGAAUGCUUAAAAGGGCUAUAUGGCAAAGGCUAGAGGAGGAGGAGCAUGGGUAUAUAUGUGAUGCCGCGAGAGAUGACACACAAAUACAACACACUAGUGUGUGUUGUGUGGAUGUGUGUUGUUUCAGUAUAUAUAUGUAUAGACCUGAAAUCAGUCGAGGUUACCCGCUGAAUUUAAGCAUAUUAUUAAGCGGAGGA